rnacentral:rRNA from 1 species
UUAAAUUGAAGAGUUUGAUCAUGGCUCAGAUUGAACGCUGGCGGCAGGCCUAACACAUGCAAGUCGAACGGUAACAGGAAACAGCUUGCUGUUUCGCUGACGAGUGGCGGACGGGUGAGUAAUGUCUGGGAAACUGCCUGAUGGAGGGGGAUAACUACUGGAAACGGUAGCUAAUACCGCAUAAUGUCGCAAGACUAAAGAGGGGGACCUUCGGGCCUCUUGCCAUCGGAUGUGCCCAGAUGGGAUUAGCUAGUAGGUGGGGUAACGGCUCACCUAGGCGAAGAUACCCAGAUGGUCUGAAUGGACUGUCAGACAACCUGGCAGUGAG